rnacentral:snRNA from 1 species
GGACAUAAAGAGGAUAUGGCUGUGGCUUCUGUCACUCAGUUCAUCACCAGGGUUGGUUUGGCUGGCUAGGCUAGUGCCCCCUUCCUCUCUCACUGCUUUAUGUGUGUCCUUCCAGAAGCUGCAGGCUCUACUGAAGAUGACAACCUCUCCUGAUGGAGGAGAACAAUUUUCCAUCAAGGGCAUAUGAGAAGUUGGGCUCCCCUGCUAGAACUGACAAACAAGUUCCCAAGGUCCACCAUCUCCUAAUAGCAUCACAGCUUGUGACCAAAUUUUGAUAUGUGGAACUCUGGAUCCAAACUGUAGUGUUGCUCAUCUGUAUGGGCGGUGGGGGCAAUCGCCG